rnacentral:rRNA from 1 species
UACGUAGGGUGCAAGCGUUGUCCGGAAUUAUUGGGCGUAAAGAGCUCGUAGGCGGUUCGUCGCGUCGGCUGUGAAAACCCGGAGCUCAACUCCGGGCCUGCAGUCGAUACGGGCGGACUUGAGUGUUGCAGGGGAGACUGGAAUUCCUGGUGUAGCGGUGAAAUGCGCAGAUAUCAGGAGGAACACCGGUGGCGAAGGCGGGUCUCUGGGCAACUACUGACGCUGAGUAGCGAAAGCGUGGGGAGCGAACAGG